ensembl:lncRNA
AUUCGGUGGUGGUGGAUGGAGCGCAGCGGCGAUUUUGGGAGAUCUGAAGUUCAAGUUGACGGCGUUGACUCGCAGAAACGUGUCCCCCACCCCACCCCAGCCCCUGACCCGGUCCCUGCGGGCAGCUAACCAAGGGUGCAGCUCUGGUUCCCCUGAGGGGGUGCGGAAACUGGGCUCCGUUCGGUGGUUCCGGAGGCCAGGCGAGGGCAGGGUCGACGUGAAAGGCCAAGACCCGGCCCCACUGUCGGAUCUGUGACUUGUCUGGACAGAGCGGUGGGAGCAAGGCCUGGAGAACCGAGGGAUGUUUUGCUGGAAAGCCGCCCCUCUCCGCCCCUCACAUCCUAGGAUGGACCAGGAGACCACUCCCAGGCUGUGGUCCUCCUCAGGGCCAGGCCCCUUCCCAGUUUUAUUUCCUGCUGACAACCAGCAUCAGCACCCCCAGACCUAAAAGGCCCCCAGGUAGCUCUCUGACUUCAGCUCUGCAAAGCCAUAGGCCAAUGCAAAGCUGGGAGACUGUCCUCUUCUCCCGCCUUCCUUCUUUCCCCAAAGGGAAAAAUCCAAGGCCUCCAGUUAAUACUUUAAAAAAUAAAAGCACCGUCCUCACCAACAUUCUCCUUAGGUUUGGGAGGUGUCUCAAAGCCAAUAAUUCCCACCAAAAAAAAAAAGUCUAAAACAUUAAAACGUCUAAAACCGACCAUCUCAUUCUUGCACAGUUAUGAUGAAUAUUUAAUCAGAUUCAUGCGCCCCCUCCCCCAGGGAUGGGGGCUUUGAAAAAACUCACAGCUUACAAUGUGUUCAAUGAAAUCUCCCAAGGAUCAGUAACAUAUGCCAAUUAUUUUAAUAAUUUUCCUUAAUAUUAUUAGGGGUUAUAAA